GACGAACGCUGGCGGCGUGCUUAACACAUGCAAGUCGAGCGAGGCCCUCUCUUCGGAGGGGUGUUCUAGCGGCGAACGGGUGAGUAACACGUGGGCAACCUGCCCUCAGCUCUGGGAUAACUCCAAGAAAUUGGGGCUAAUACCGGAUAUGACUGCUGACCGCAUGGUCUGGUGGUGGAAAGAUUUAUCGGCUGGGGAUGGGCCCGCGGCCUAUCAGCUUGUUGGNGGGGUAGUGGCCUACCAAGGCGACGACGGUAGCCGGCCUGAGAGGGUGACCGGCCACACUGGGACUGAGACACGGCCCAGACUCCUACGGGAGGCAGCAGUGGGGAAUAUUGCGCAAUGGGCGGAAGCCUGACGCAGCGACGCCGCGUGGGGA
rnacentral:rRNA from 1 species